ensembl:lncRNA
CGGGAAUAACUCAAUCACAUGGAGUACAUCAGAAAUUGAACGGACAUCUGUACUGUAUCCAGUGUAGACUGUGUCAGCAAUUAUAAUGGGUUCUAUGACACAGUAGACACAGUAGUCUUUUGACACAGUAGUCAUUGUAGACAGCUGUAAAGCAAAUGAACACCAGUAGGCGGGGCCUAUAGUGCAGUUAUGUAAAACUAUUUGUUAAUGUCUUGCUCUGGAGACAGUCAUAUGCAAAUGUAUUUACCAGUGUGAUGUCACAAAACCUACAACAAUAAAGUUACCAGUUAAGUAAUGAUGUUGUGUUAUUAUGUAAAGCUGUUUGUUUUUGUCAAUUAAUACUUUAUUGUGGUGCAUCAGUCUAAUCUAAUCUUAUCGUCAAAUAGUCUUCUUUUAAUGUUUUAUUUACAUUUAUCACCAGCAGGACAAAACAGGCAUUUCAGCUCAAGGGCUUCUUCAGUGCAUUUUUGAGCCCUUUGAUCACCCCCCUGGAGCCGUGUGAGGCACUUUUUUAUUAUGGAUGGAUGCGCUUUAUUUCACUUCCUUUGGACUGAUGAACUGUAACACCCGCUGACUGCCAUUAAACAGCUUGGAACAUCAAAGUCAAUUUUUAAUAUAACUCAGAUUGGAUUCAUCUGAAAGAAGGAAGUCACAUACGCCUAGGAUUGCUUUAGGGGUUGUUCCACCAGCUGUAUUCCCUGCUGUGAAAGAUAAGUGAUCCAUCAAACCAAACAUCCAGAUUUAUCUCUGUUAAUGAGUGCCAAUGACUCACGUAGGGCAUGCAAGAGG